GCGCCCGUAGCUCAAUUGGAUAGAGCGCUGCCCUCCGGAGGCAGAGGUUUGGGGUUCGAGUCCCUUCGGGCGUA
rnacentral:tRNA from 1 species